UGCGCAGUCGGCUAAUUAAGUUUGUGGUGAAAGUGCGGGGCUUAACUCCGUAUAGCCAUGAAAACUGGUAAGCUAGAGUGCAGAAGGGGGUAGUGGAAUUCCAUGUGUAGCGGUAAAAUGCGUAGAUAUAUGGAGGAACACCAGUGGCGAAGGCGGCUACCUGGUCUGUAACUGACGAUGAGGCACGAAAGCGUGGGGAGCAAAUA
rnacentral:rRNA from 1 species